CCUACGGGAGGCAGCAGUGGGGAAUAUUGGGCAAUGGGCGCAAGCCUGACCCAGCGACGCCGCGUGGGUGAUGAAGGCCUUCGGGUCGUAAAGCCCUGUCGGGUGGAAAGAAUGGUGAGGAGGGUUAACCUGCUCACGUGACGGUACCACCGAAGGAAGCACCGGCCAAUUCCGUGCCAGCAGCCGCGGUAAGACGGAAGGUGCAAGCGUUGCUCGGAAUCACUGGGCGUAAAGGGUGCGUAGGCGGCUUGGCGGGUCUGGUGUGAAAGCCCCGGGCUCAGCCCGGGAAGGGCACUAGAAACUGACAAGCUUGAGUACCGGAGGGGAGAGUGGAAUUCCUGGUGUAGCGGUGAAAUGCGUAGAGAUCAGGAGGAAUACCGGUGGCGAAAGCGACUCUCUGGACGGUAACUGACGCUGAGGCACGAAAGCGUGGGGAGCAA
rnacentral:rRNA from 1 species